CUGCCCAACACGGUAAGUUCAUUUAAUCCUGAUUUCAUUUAAACACCAGAGGCUGUGCGGUGGUUAUACUAAUUUUGGAGAUGUGGAAACUGAGGCUCAGAGAGACUUUGAUCAGCCAGUGACUAGCCAAGCUAAGACUGAAAUGAGGGCCUCCAUCCUGCCCAGCCUGAAGGUCUUCCUCUGAGGCUGUGAGCCAAAGGGAAAAACAAACAGAGGAAAUAAUUCCUGAAGCGACUUGGGUAAUUCAGGAAGAGAAGGCUGCUAUUUAGGAAAUAUUUAGGAUUCGGACUCUAGUCUCAACCCUCUGAGUGUAGACAUGGCUCCUGAGGUCCUGGGCUAGUUUCUAGAAAGCUGAUUUCUGCCUUGGGAAAUAGUGAGCUGUAUGAAAUGCAGAAACUGUGUAGGAGUUCACAAGCAGCAACCGACAGAGCUAAAUGUUCGCAGCUGGCAUUCAAUAAAAGUCUGGGCACGGCAUUGAUCGGUGAGGCCCGUGGCUCCACGUGGCCUCCCUGAAAACAACGCCCAGUUACGGCACAGGGAGUCCAUCCCUUCUUCAGACGGGGUGCAGGCGCAGGCAGGGUUUUCAAGUGCAAGAAAAAGAUCAGAGCAGGCACAGCAGUGGGGGCUGUGUUCAGGUGGCCAGGAGGGAAGGUGGGAUGAGUCAGACACAAGAUUUCAUACCCGAAGACAUCAGGGAUUGGAAAAGGCCCGGGGCUCCUCCCAUUCGAGAAAUCCUCACCUUCCCAGGUGGCCCGGGACAAGGCUCGGCAGCCCUCUGUGUCCCUGUACAACUUCUGCCUUCAUCACCGCAAUCUCUGCCCAUGUUCCAGAGCCUUGGGUCUUGCGCCUGGUGACUCCUUAGGUAAUGGGACUUCCUGAGCAGGAACCAUGGUUGUGUUGCGCUUUAAACCUUUCAGCAGUUUUGUUCCACGUGUGCAUCAAAACAUCCGACAGGUUAUAAUUAGCAGCAACACAUGGAAAACAUCACGAUGGUCACCUCCCACGCCCGCCCCACUGCUGGCCUGACCAGAGGUCACUUUCAAGCCUGUUGGUGAGCCUGGGGUGGUCAGAUUCUUUCCUAAAAUCAGAGAAUCGACGAGCCUCCCAGGCUCCUCCUGCCCUGCCUGCCUAGGAUUUAAAGGGGAUGGACUAGUAAGAAACGACAAACUUCGCCAGCUUGACAACGCUGCAGUGGUGUAUUCUGUGUCUGCCUUACACAUCUACUUUCUUGUUUGAGGAACAGCAACAGAAAUGAUUGUGUGUGUGUUCUCAGGACAGUAUCAGGGGAGCUGGCCCAGCCUCUGUCUCUGACCGCCUCCCCACCACGUGUAGAUCUGGGUGCCCUGUGUGCUCAGGGAGCCCCUAUCGGGAUGGAGAGCCAAAGGCCAGAGACGUCCUUGAGAGAGACCCAGCAGGGGCCACCCCAGAACGCCCCACCUUCCAGCCCAGUGCCUCUGCCUGAGGUGCUUUCACUCUGGCCGUUCCCUCUUCCCAGAUCCUUUCUUGGCUCCUUGUUGCCAUCUGGUGCUUAGUACAGAUGUUGCCUCCGCAAGGAGGCCCUCCCAGACCUCCUGCCCCUAAGCGCCCGGCUCUCUCACCUUAUUUUCUUUUCUUCCCUGCCGGUAUCAUCAUCUGGGGCUUACCAUUUUUCUUCCUGCCGUCUCUUCUCCAGAGCAGAAGCUGGGUGCUGUGACAGCAGGGACCUCUCCCUGCAGUUUCCGCUCAGAACAAUGGUAAGCACAGGACUCGGCACCCACGGCAGGAAGCCGGUCCCUGUCUGUGGAAUGGGCAGGAUGAAGGAGAGACUAGCUUUAGACACGGGCCAUGCUGAGCCCGCAGCUGAGCCAAGACACCAAGGUUCCAGGCUGUGAGACUGGACAGUUACACAGUUACAUGCCCUCCCCUGGCCUCACCCCCAGAGAUGCUUUCCCGAGAUUACCCUCAUAAUUCUGCAUGGCAGUUGGAUACUUUCUAGUGUUGGCAAAGUGAUCCAAUGAAAAAUAGCUCUUUGAGAACCCUAGAUUAUCUCUCAAAUUCCUCAAAAAAAAAAAAAAAAUCUAGUUGAUUGAAGGAUAAGGGUGGAGUAGAGGGUAGUUUUUAAGACACAUACUCAUUGUGGUUGCCUCACUUCUCUCGUUCUCUGGGCUCCGAGCACUCGGGUCUCUCUCGCUCUGUGUGCCUAUCCUUUGACAGGUCGGCCAGCCCUGGACUCCAGCUGGUUGACCUGGGCGAGGCAGCCAGCCUUCUCUUCCUUCUCCUCCCUUCAUGGAGCAGGUUUGCUACCCGGUCUCUGCUGUUCUUUCUGACAAGAGCGCGCCAGCUUUCCUGGGGAAGGAAGCCUUCUUCCCACUCCCAGACCUUGCCCCGGGGGCCAGUUGUCACAUUCCGUGCCCGCCCCCGGCCACAGUAAAGGUUUAGAGGUGCCACAGACUGGGCCCAAGAGAGGGGAGCCACCAGGAUCUGAACUGGAGCCACAGGGACGGGCUCUGGCUUCUGCCUGUCCUGGGCAUUGGGGGCGGAACGCUGGCUGUGACACGUGGAGUCGGUGCCCAGAGGAAGGGGCGAGGCCCUGAGGCAGCCCAGCUUGGGCCUCAGCCCUUUAGGACAGCGAGCUUCCUACCAUGCUCAAGCAAGUUCUGCCACAUGCUGCCAAAGGCCCUUGACCCAUGUCCUGUGCAGACAUGUCCUGGGGAUACAGAGCUGCAUGGAAGAGACCCCCAGCUCCACAGGUAUGUGGAGUGAUUGUACCCAAGGACUGUGGUGACCUUGGUCACCCACGUUAGCCAGCAGCCAUGAUUGUGUACCCACAGAGCCUUGCUAGACCCUGGGUGUGGCUGUAAAGAUGUCCUGACCUCUAGGUUCCCAAGGUCCAGAGGCCUGACUAUGAAAAGGAUGUGUGUGGGCUGGCCUGAGGAAGAGCUGGGGGCCUAGAAAGCACCCCACACCCAGGCACACCAGGCCCUCUGGCCUGUGAAUCUUCCUGUACCUGCAUCCCACUGUCUUUGUCAGCCAGGUUCUCAGAGUGGCCCCGGGGGAGGCAGUGGGACCGAGACGUCCCAGUCAGCACCCCCACUGCCACCCCGUGUCAAUCUGCGCUGAUGGCAACGAGCGCAUCUUUGUCUGGGUGGAGGCUCAUCUUCACACUCUGGAGCGUGGAGGGUAAGCACCUUAAGCUGCAAAUACUGUUAUCCAUGAUAGGUUGGCAAAUAUUCUCAGAUUGAGUGCCAAACUUUAGAAUUAUGUCAGUGAAUCCUUGAGCUUUCCGCCAUCAUUGUUCUUGCUUUGUCCUUAUGCAAGGAGGCCCCAGAGUGGGAGGGCCUGUGUGCAGUCUGACUUCCCUCCAUUGAAAGAAUUGCCUCACUCAUUUCCCAACCCUGAGAGGCUGCUCACCACCUUCAGAGGCAGAAAGCAUUGCCUGGCGGGGCUGUUCUGACUGGCAGGGGAUGUUUCAGGUGACUUAGCCCCAUCUGCCCAUCUUGUGUGCUGACAGCAUGCGUUCAUAUAGCCAUUCAAUAAAUUUCCUCACUCAUUUACUGGGUACCUGACCCUUUGU
ensembl:lincRNA